UACGGGGGGGGCAAGCGUUGUUCGGAAUUACUGGGCGUAAAGGGCUCGUAGGUGGCCAACUAAGUCAGACGUGAAAUCCCUCGGCUUAACUGGGGAACUGCGUCUGAUACUGGAUGGCUUGAGGUUGGGAGAGGGAUGCGGAAUUCCAGGUGUAGCGGUGAAAUGCGUAGAUAUCGUAAGGAAGACCAGUGGCGAAGGCGGGUCUCUGGACAGUUCCUGACGCUGAGGCACGAAGGCCAGGGGAGCAAACGGG
rnacentral:rRNA from 1 species